UACGAAGGGGGCUAGCGUUGCUCGGAAUCACUGGGCGUAAAGCGCACGUAGGCGGAUCUUUUAAGUCAGGGGUGAAAUCCCAAGGCUCAACCUUGGAACUGCCUUUGAUACUGGGGAUCUCGAGUCCGGAAGAGGUUGGUGGAACUGCGAGUGUAGAGGUGAAAUUCGUAGAUAUUCGCAAGAACACCAGUGGCGAAGGCGGCCAACUGGUCCGGAACUGACGCUGAGGUGCGAAAGCGUGGGGAGCAAACAGGG
rnacentral:rRNA from 1 species